AAUGGCACUCGGACAAAUAACAGGGUCCUCUAAGUCCACAACCAAACAAGGAACAUGAAAUAAAGUGAGUUAUCAGUCCUAAGUCCUUCUAACCUUACUUAUAUAACUAUAUAUGCAUUAGACACGGUUUUGACAAUAUAUAAGUUUAAAAGAGUUUAAAGAAAAGGUUUGGCAAGAACAAGUUUGAUAAAGAGUUUAACAUGUAAAAGAGUUUGAUAAACAUUUUGAAGUAGUUUGUUUGAUAAAACAGUUAAAAGUAUAGUAAAUCCAUUUGUUUGAUAGUUAUUAAUCACAUGUGAUUGAUAUAAUAACUAUAAUGUUUCAACUUGUAUUCCCCCCAUAAAAGCAUUUAAAAUCAUUUAAAAGGUAGAUUAAGGGGUAUGAACUCACCUGUAGUGAGUGAUACGGAAGUAUGUUUGGAAAAAGGAUGUAGAGUGUCAGGUGAAACCUUGAGCACACAAAGAUCCUAAUAAACAUAUAAUGACAUGUAUGUGUAUUUGAUUAGUGUAUAAACAACUAAUUAUAAGGGAUAACACCCUAAUAGACUAGGAAACUCUUAGAUUUAAGGGAUACAAUCACAUAUGAUUGCACACUUAGGGUGUAUGGCCACCCUAAAGAGUUUACGGUCCAAAUGGCAUGACCAAGUGAGUUUGCGGUCCAACGGUUUAUGGUCCAAUGGGUUCACGGUCCCAUGUGGUUACGGUCCUAUGACCUUAUAGUCAUCAGGUUUACGGUCUAGUGAGUUUACCACCGUAAACUCGCAUCCUUUUGUGCAUAGGAUGAUUUCCAAGCAUUUUGAAGGGUUCUAAGUUCCAUUCUAGGCUUUAGGAGGGUUUAAGGUCUCUAAUGCGCCUUUCAUUAGGUUUUACGGUCUAAGGAGAUACACUUAGACCGUAAACACCUUUGUUCUUUGAUAAAGUGACGAUUUCAAGUCCAUAACAAGAAUCCUAACUAGAUACAAGUAUAGGAGGAAGGUACUCACGAUUUGGAGGCAAAGGAGUGUGCUUUCAGUCCAAAACACUAAGGUAUUCUUGAGAAUUAUUGAAGAUCUAGAUUAAAAGAUGAAACCCAUGGAUGAAUCAAGAGUGAAUCAUGGAUAUAGGAAGGAUUAACACCCAAGGGAAGGAAUCACUUGUUUGAAAAUUUGGAAGCAAAAAUCUUAUGAUUUUUGAGAGGGAAAUCGGCUCCUAUGCUUGAAAAGGGAAAAAGAAUGAUCGAAAUGAUCAUCCACCAUAUAUAUAAGGAUGGGUACCUUGACCGUAAACUCAAGGUCUCGACCGUAAACUCCUUUUUGAGGAGGUUUACGGUUACUAGGUAGUUUAGAACUUAAACUGACACUUCCAAAUACUGAUUCCUUUGAUGCACUAGAGUUAUAAUACUCACAAUAGAUCCUAACCAGUGAUAACUGGACGCAAAACGAGUCUAACACUGAAAAUUUUGAAUGUUUAAACAAGCUAGAAGUUUCGGAUUGUCACAUCAUCCCCCCGUUAGAGAGAAAUUCGUCCCGAAAUUAGAGUUUAAGCAAGAUAUUUCAAUUUCAUUUGAUCAUCGCGCUCCCAAGUGAAUUCAGAUCCUUGCUUGGCGUUCCAGCGAACCUUCACUGUCGGGGUACAGCUUUGCUUCAUUUGCUUGACCUCUCAUUCCAUGAUCUCUAUAGGUUCUUCCACGAAGUUAAGGCUCUCGUUGAUCUCGAUCUCGUCGAGUGGGAUUACAAGAGUCUCGUCGGAUAGGCACUUUUUCAAGUUCGAGACGUGGAAGGUAGAAUGUAUGUUACUAAGUUCACGGGGUAGGUUGAGUUUGUAAGCUACAGGGCCGAUUCUAGCGAGAAUCUCAAAAGGCCCUAUGUAUCUUGGAGUGAGCUUCCCAUGCUUUCCGAAGCGUAUCAAGCCCUUCCAGGGUGAGACCUUCAAAAGAACACGGUCUCCCACCUGGAAUUCCAAAGGUUUCCUUCAUUUGUCUGCGUAGCUUUUCUUUCGGUCUCUAGAGGCUUUCAAUCGUUCACAAAUCUGAACAAUUUUCUCUAUCGUUUCCCAAAUGAUCUCCGGACUUGUGAGAGUGCUGUCAAGAACUCGUCCUUUAGCUAACUGGGUGUUACCCACCUCAGCCCAGCAAAGAUGGGAUCUGCACUUUCGGCCAUAGAGGGCCUCGAAUGGAGCAGCCUUUAAGCUCGUGUGAUAACUAUUGUUGUAGGAAAAUUUGACAAGGGGUAGGUGAAUAUCCCAUGCUUUCCCAAAGUCAAUCACACAGGCUCGCAACAUAUCCUCUAAAUUUUGGAUAGUCCUCUCACUUUGUCCAUCGGUUUAUGGAUGGUAGGCUGAACUCAUGUCCAGCCUAGUUCCUAGGGAACUUUGUAGCGACUGCCAGAAUAUUGAAGUGAAUCUACUAUCUCUAUCAGAGAUAAUGGAUAUAGGAACACCAUGCAGUCGUAUGAUCUCCCUAAUAUAGGUUCUUGUUAGCUUCUCCAUCUUGUCUGUCUCUUUUAUAGGCAGGAAGUGUGCGGACUUGGUUAACCUGUCUAUGAUCACCCAAAUGGUAUCGAGACCACCCGUAGUCUUGGGCAACUUGGUUAUGAAGUCCAUUGUGAUUCGCUCCCACUUCCUUUUCGGUAUCUCUGGUUGUUUUAGUAAACCUGAGGGUUUCUGGUAUUCGACCUUGACCUUGGCGCAAGUAAGACAUUUACUUACGAAGGUUGCAAUCUCUGCUUUCAUGUUAGGCCACCAGUAUAACUUUUUAAGAUCCAGAUACAUCUUAUCCGAACCUGGGUGGACGGAAUAUCGAGUGUUAUGCACUUCUAUCAAGACCAAGUCUCUAAAGCCACCAUAUUUCGGUGUCCAGAUCCGAUCCAUGAAAUAUAAGGCUCUGCCACCCUUGACUCCCAAGUUCUUAUUCAUCCCUCUCAGGGAUUCACUCGCCACAUUUUCAGGUUUCAAAGCGUCGAGCUAAGCCUCCUUAAUUUGUGUGGACGAGUGUGAAUGGAUAGUCAUAGUCAAUGAUUUGACUCUACGACCAGAGUAUUCUUUCCGAAUUUCGCAUUCGUAAUCACUGAGUAGCUUGACCCACUGUCAUUGUCUCAUGUUGAGCUCCUUCUGGUCGAAUAUAUGUUGUAGGCUUUUGUGGUCUGUAAAGAUAGUGCUUUUCGUACCAUACAGGUAGUGUCUCCAGAUCUUCAGAGCAAACACCACUGCUCCUAACUCAAGAUCAUGUGUGGUGUAGUUAACCUCGUGUGUCUUCAGCUGUCUUGAGGCGUAGGCAAUGACCUUACCUCGUUGCAUCAGAACACAACCGAGCCCUUGAUUGGAUGCAUCGCAGUAGACCACGAAGUCUUCUAUUCCUUCUGGGAGGGAUAGUAUCGGUGUGGUGCAUAAGGCUCGUUUCAGUGUUUGGAAUGCUUUCUCUUUCUUCUCUUCCCAGUCAAAGGCCACGCCCUUCUGGGUCAAAGUCGUAAGAGGUUUCGCAAUUCAAGAGAAGUUCUGAAUGAACCUACGAUAGUAGCCAGCGAGGCCUAGAAAUUGGCAAAUUUUUGUAGGCAUCUUCGUUGCUGACCAGUUCUCAAUGGCUUUGAUUUUGGUAGGGUCCACAUGAAUUCCUUCUUCACUAUCAACGUGACCCAUAAAUUCGACUCUUCGGAUCCAAAACUCGCAUUUAGAGAACUUCGCAUAGAGCUUCUCUGAUCGUAAUGUUUCUAAGAUCAGACGUAGAUGCUUACUAUGCUCUUCCUUACUACGAGAGUAGAUAAGUAUGUCAUCUAUAAAGAUGAUGAAAAACUGAUCCAAGUAAGGAUGGCAUACCCUAUUCAUUUAGUCCAUGAAUAUUGCGGGCGCAUUGGUCAAUCCGAAUGGAAUCACUACAAACUCGUAGUGUCCAUAACGAGUUCGGAAGGCUGUCUUCGGAACAUCCUCCUCUAGCACUCCUAACUGGUGAUACCCGGAUCUCAGAUCUAUCUUUGAAAAGAAAUUCGCCCCUUCCAAUUGGUCGAACAAAUCAUCUAUGCGAGGCAGAAGGUAAGGAUUCUUAAUGGUAAGCUUGUAGAGUUCCCUGUAGUAGAUGCACAUACGAAACGAUCCGUCUUUCUUUUGGAGGAACAAGACUGAAGCUCCCCAGGUUGAGAAGCUUGGUCUUAUAAAGCCCUUGCUGAGCAGUUCGUUAAGUUGAUCAGACAGUUCUUGCAUCUCUGCAGGUGCUAGACGAUAGAGCGAUUUGGCUACAGGGGUAGCCCCUGGAACUAAGUCGAUUCUGAACUCGACUUGACGUCAUGGAGGUAAUCCUGGAGUUCUUCUGGAAAGAUGUCGGAAAAAUCACGUACUACUUGGAUGUUCUUAAUGUUCUUCAUCUCUUGGCUCACAUCAACAACAUGAGCAAGGAAUGCACGACAUUCCUUUCGCAAGUACUUCUAGGCUUAAAUACUCGAGAUGAUACGAAGGUUCGUGUCGGGUUUGUCGCCAUAGACUACCAGAGUUUCGCCAGACGGCAGAUUAAGGCGAACAACCUUUUCAUAACACAUGAUGUCAGCACGAUGUAGACUCAACCAAUCCAUGCCGAUAAUGACGUCGAAACUUUUAAUUGAGACCGGCAUGAGGUCGAUUGAAAAUGAAUGGCUAUCUAGAGUUAGAGUACAUCCUAUGUGUAUACAGCUAGUGCUCUCAGUCUUCCCAUUAGCCAUUUAUACAGUGAACAGUUCUUUAAGUGUUCGUGAUUUUUGUUUAAGUAAGUGAACAAAUUUCUGAUUCACGAAACUUCUCUCCACUCCACUAUCAAACAGAAUGCAUGCAUAACAGUUAUUGAGGAGAAAUGUACCAGUGACCACUGUAGGGUCGGCAACUGCUUCCUUGUGGCCUAUAGCCAAAACUCUUCCUACUCCACCGGCAUUCCCUGCCUUCGGGCAGUUCCUUUUGUAGUGGCCCACUUCACCACAACCGUAGCAAGCCUGGCCCACACCAGCGCCGAGGACUUGGUUGAUUGGCCUUGCCAGAGAUUUGCAGAAACAGGCAGUGUGCGCCUUCCUGUUGCAGUUAGAAGACUGCAUUUCCCGGCAAGCUCAAGUGUGGUGGAAGAUGCAUUUGUUUCACUUUGGCAAACUUCCAGCGUACUGCUUUACCGGAGUAGCAGCGGUAGGUGCUAUUGCAGCAUGAACCGCCACAACCUGCUACUUUUUGGCAGCUUUUUUUUAUUCUUAUCAUCCCAGAAUUUCCGCUUGCUGGCAGCAGCUUUGGAGGAUUUUGAGAUGGCUAGGGUUGUUGUUGUUGACGGGUACGGGCCCCAUGGUCAGUGAGCCGAUGUGUCAAUCGGUUGGCACUAUCGAAUGUAGUGGGGUUUGAAGCCAAGACAUUCCCUUGGAAUGGAGGCACCAAUCCCCAGAUGUACCUCUCUAUUUUCUUUCUCUCCGUGUGAACCAUGUUGGGACAUAGGGCCACCAGCUCGCAGAAUCUGGCGGUAUAGGAAACUAUGUCAGAGCCCUUCAUGGUUAGGCUCCAUAGUUCUUGUUCUAGUUUCUGGAUUUCACCCCUCAUGUAGUAUUUUUCAAUCAUGAGCUCUCUCAGAGCUCCCCAGCCCAUAAAAUUUUCCAUUAUUAGAGUUAGUAACUUGACAUGGCUAUUCCACCAUGUCAGGGCUUUUUCCUUGAAGGUGCAAGCAGCAAAUUUGACUUUCCUCUCUUUUAGACAUGAGCAGAUCUCGAAGAUCGACUCUGCCUGCUCGAAACAUUGCGAGAGGGCAAUGACUCCGCUAAUCCCUUUAAAGGACUUUGGCUUGCAAUUAGUGAAGUCCUUGUAGGAGCAUUCUCUCGAGCGCACGGUGGCCUCACCUUGAGUAGAAUGAACAGGUGUUCCACCUCCGCUGGUGCUGGUAGAGUGAUAUUGAGCCAUGGUUGUUGCCACAGCCGCAGCUACUGCAGCAUUUAGAGUUGCCGUAUCGAUUUGUGAAGGAGGCGGUGGUGGUGUUGGAGUUACCCGAGGAUCGCGUCUCGUUGAUCAGCACGGAGGCAUAUUUUAACUAAAAGUUUACAAAGAUGAAGAUACGAGUAAGAAUUUAAUAGAGAGAAAUGAUGAGAGUGACUCAUGGACUAACUCUCCAUAGCGCAACAACACAAUUGAAUAGUAUGAUUGAAUGUAAAUCUAGUACUAAAAAGAUGAUAGCAUUUGGAUAAUAAUUUCCAUAAGAUUAUAUAUUUGUCAAUAAUACUGGUAUUACAGAUGUAACAAGUUCGGGAAAAAUGGCCUAGAAGUAGGUCUUACAUCAAACCAAGAUAGGAAAAUUUUGACAGAACUACGACCUAACAAGACUUAACAGAUUCAAAGUCUUCACAUAGAUAGGAAAUUAAACUAGAAUUUUUACAUAGACUACGUUAUAUUCAAAAGAGAAAGUUGAGUAGGCUCUAUCUACGAUGAGAACCACUAGAAUGAGUCCUUGAUUCUGACAGAUAGCGCUCCAUGUAUCUCAUGCACCUUUCAGUCAUUGCCUGCCGAGCUCGAAGUUCCUUGACUCCAGCUUGGGUUGUAGUAAGAUCUCUCUGCAGGGCCACAUUAUGAUUCUGAGUCCUUUCAUAAGUAGACUCCAGAUAGCGAAUGUGUACGGUAUUGACUCCCACAUCGGCAUCAACUUCCAUGAUUCGAUUGAUGGCCGCUCUACCCUGCUCAUCACUACGGGCAAUCCUGCGGACCAGGAUAGGCAGGACUCUGUCUGCUGAACCUCCCUUGCUCAAGUCAUAGAAGCUUCGAUCUCCGUUUUACGGUAAGGGUUGACCCUAUUCGUGGCUCCGUAUUCUCAAGUUUGUUGCCCACAGAGGUGUGGGACCUUGAAAUGUUGGACGAGGGUUAGCAUUAGGGAUUUGAGCCACUGGGGGUAGGUUAUUGACUUCUGGUUCAGAGUCAGAAUCCUCCGAGAAGUUCUCUGCGAAGUCUUCAUCUACAGGGAUUGGAUGAUUCUCUUCUAGCUCUGCAUCGAUCCAUCCUCCGUUAUUGACUUCUGGUUCAGAGUCAGAAUCCAGCAAUGAUAUCUACGCGAGAAAAGGGGUAUAAGAAUCGUAUAAAAAUAGACGUACUACUUAAGAUAAUUAUAAGAUGAUCCUUACUAUUUACUUCAAUACUUCCAUAGUGCAUACCAGUUACAUGUAAUUAAAAUAGGAUAGACCUUCGAAUAAGUGACCCUAACUCCAAAUCCACAACCAAACAAGGAACAGGAAGUAAAAUAAAGAUCACAGAUUCUAAGUCUAUGAUAUCCUAGUCACAUAUAACCUUAGUGUAUCCACUUAGAAGCUAUUAUCCUACUAAUAAAGACCUUUUUAGUUCUCAAAUAAGUAAUUAUAGUAACACAAAAUACUCCUAUAGUAUUUUAGGUUUAUGUUUUUUUCUAAUGUUUUCGUUGUAGUAGUGUUGGUAAGUUUUUAGACUUGUUACAACCUCACAACCAUUCUUAGGCACAUGCUAGUCACUCCUCGGAAAAUAUAGUUGAUCAGGCUAUAUCACUCACAGAUUUGACUAUAUGUCUCUAAGCCUAAUUGUGUUGCUCAACAAUCGUAAUACUUUUGUUAUGUCCUAGUGACACUGAUUUUUGUAUGAAUGCAGGUAGGUAUACUUGGUUAAACAUUUUAUUAUUUAAAAGUAUAAACUCUUGGUCAGAGUAUUUUAAUCCCAUUGUGUUUAUAGUUUGUAUAUCUUUUAUGCGUUGAUAUAUUCGAUUCAUUAUAAACAAUGCUCUGAUACCAAUCUAUCACACCCCAAAACCGGAAAGGUGGAAACGUUCAGGGGCGGAGGACGUCAUGUACAGUAUCACAACAAAGCAUAAUAGUAAACAAGCAACAACAUCAUCCAUUGCAUUAAUAAUAUAAUUUAUUACAAGUGUGUUUUGUGAAGUUUAUAAGACGCCAAAAAUGUAAAUCAAAAUAAGAGAUGAGUCUUGAAUGAGCUCCAUCUUCUCAAAACCUGGCAUCGGUACCUGUCUACUGAUGACCUGAGAAUACAAGUUAUUUUGAAAGAGUUGAUCAACUUUAAAGCUGGUGAGAUCAUGAGCAUUUUAGUGUCAUUGUUUGUAUGAAAACGUUUGUAAGUGUUUGAUGUAUAAGUUUGUAAAUGUUUGUAUCUCCUAGAAAAUCCUAUAUUUUCUACUAAACGUAGCCUUCUACCAAGCCAUCAAAUUUUCUGUAUGUUUGUUUUGUGUAAAAGUGUGCAUUUUCCCAAGUGUGACUAUCAUUAACCAAAAAUAUAGUUUUUUACAUUAUCGUUUAUGUGAGAAGAUCACAAUGUGAAUGCAAUGAGAAAAUAAUAAAGUAUUGUAGUGUUGUAUUAUGGUAACUACUAUGGUACUAACUACCUUAAACUGGUUGUUAAUUAAGGUAUAAUGUGAUAUGAUUGUAUCAUACUAUCGACUAAAAACACGAUGAUGAAAGACGUUGGAAGAAAUGACAUUCGGCACCAGUAGACUUGUAAGUCCCACUGUAGCGAACAACAAGGUGUAGGAUAGUCAAUUCAGUAUAGAUCUAUACACAAUUUCACGCUCUCCCUCAAGGAGACUUUGGAUACAAAACUAGCCAUGGAAGGUGAUGUCAUGCCCCGAAAUCGUGGCUCACAUUUAUGUUAUAGUAUUCUUGUAUAUGUAUUAUAUGUACUAGUGUAAUGUAUGUUCUCUCUGUCUAGUAUGUAGUAUGUUCUUUUUGUUUCUCAUCAUAGUAUUCUCUCUUGUAUAGUAUAUAGUAUGUAUUGUUUCUUGUUAUAGUAUUCUCUAUCUGUUUCUCAUUAUAGUAUUCUCUAUCUGUUUCUCGUUAUAGUAUGUAUUGACUCAUGUAUGAACUGACUCUUUAUAUGUUUCAUUGUACUAGAAAUAGUGAAUAGUGACUUCCUAAACUAUAACCAUUAUGGUUUACUAGUAAAGUUGUUUGUAUAACUGAGUGUAUUGAACUAAGACAAAAGCUUUUCUAUGUUAUACAUAUAUACAUAAUAUAUGCUAAGGAUCAAACGACACUCGGACAAACCACAGGGUACUCUAAGUCCACAACCAAACAGGGAACGGGAAAUAAAGUGAGUUAUCAGUCCUAAGUCCUUCCAACCUUACCUAUAUAACUAUAUAUGCAUUAGACACGGUUUUGACAAUCUAUAAGUUUAAAAGAGUUUAAAGAAAAGGUUUGGCAUGUAAGAACAAGUUUGAUAAAGAGUUUAACAUGUAAACGAGUUUGAUAAACAUUUUAAAGUAGUUUGUUUGAUAAAACAGCUAAAUUAUAGCAAAUCCAUUUGUUUGAUAGUUAUUAAUCACAUGUGAUUGAUAUA
rnacentral:lncRNA from 1 species